rnacentral:rRNA from 1 species
UACGGGGGGGGCAAGCGUUGUUCGGAAUUACUGGGCGUAAAGGGCUCGUAGGCGGCCAACUAAGUCGGAUGUGAAAUCCCCAGGCUUAACCUGGGAACUGCAUCCGAUACUGGAUGGCUUGAAUCCGGGAGAGGGAUGCAGAAUUCCAGGUGUAGCGGUGAAAUGCGCAGAUAUCAGGAGGAACACCGGUGGCGAAGGCGGUUCUCUGGGCAUGAUCUGACGCUGAGGAGCGAAAGUGUGGGGAGCGAACAGG